GCAUGAAGCUGGAAUCGCUAGUAAUCGCAGAUCAGAAUGCUGCGGUGAAUACGUUCCCGGGUCUUGUACACACCGCCCGUCACACCAUGGGAGUUGGAAAUGCCCGAAGUCAGUGACCGAACCGAAAGGAAGGAGCUGCCGAAGGUGGAGCCGAUGACUGGGGUGAAGUCGUAACAAGGUAUC
rnacentral:rRNA from 1 species